GACGAACGCUGGCGGCGUGCUUAACACAUGCAAGUCGAACGGAAAGGCCCUGCUUGCAGGGUACUCGAGUGGCGAACGGGUGAGUAACACGUGGGUGAUCUGCCCUGCACUUCGGGAUAAGCCUGGGAAACUGGGUCUAAUACCGGAUAGGAGCCAUUUUUAGUGUGAUGGUUGGAAAGUUUUUUCGGUGUAGGAUGAGCUCGCGGCCUAUCAGCUUGUUGGUGGGGUAAUGGCCUACCAAGGCGGCGACGGGUAGCCGGCCUGAGAGGGUGGACGGCCACAUUGGGACUGAGGUACGGCCCAGGCUCCUACGGGAGGCAGCAGUGGGGAAUAUUGCACAAUGGGCGCAAGCCGGAUGCAGCGACGCCGCGUGGGGGAUGACGGCCUUCGGGGUGUAAACUCCUUUCGCUAGGGACGAAGCUUUUUGUGACGGUACCUAGAGAAGAAGCACCGGCUAACUACGUG
rnacentral:rRNA from 1 species